rnacentral:rRNA from 1 species
AUUGAACGCUGACGGCAUGCUUUACACAUGCAAGUCGAACGGUAACAGGCCGCAAGGUGCUGACGAGUGGCGAACGGGUGAGUAAUGCAUCGGAACGUGCCCAGUCGUGGGGGAUAACUACUCGAAAGAGUAGCUAAUACCGCAUACGAUCUAUGGAUGAAAGCGGGGGACCGUAAGGCCUCGCGCGAUUGGAGCGGCCGAUGUCAGAUUAGGUAGUUGGUGGGGUAAAGGCUCACCAAGCCAACGAUCUGUAGCUGGUCUGAGAGGACAACCAGCCACACUGGGACUGAGACACGGCCCAGACUCCUACGGGAGGCAGCAGUGGGGAAUUUUGGACAAAGGGCGCAAGCCUGAUCCAGCAAUGCCGCGUGCAGGAAGAAGGCCUUCGGGUUGUAAACUGCUUUUGUACGGAACGAAACGGCUCUGGUUAAUACCCGGGGCUAAUGACGGUACCGUAAGAAUAAGCACCGGCUAACUACGUG